rnacentral:lncRNA from 1 species
AGCAUGAUCUUGGACAACAAUUUAACCUGGAAGAGAUCCAUUUACACAUCCAUACACUGGGAUGAGUAAUAAGGCCAGCUUUCUGUCACGGGACAGUGAGGACUAAAGUGGAUCUUUCUGGUGAAAACUCUUUGUAAGCUCUUAAGUAGAAUAUAAGUCAAGGAUCAGGACACUUUUUUUUUUUUUGUAAAGUUACAGACAAUAUUUUAGUUUUUGUGGAUAAAGUCUGAAUCAAAACAACUCAACUAUGAAGUUGUAGCAAGGGAACAGCCACAGACGAUGACAAAUCAAUUUGAUUGACAAAUCAACAGGUGUGACUGAGCCAAUGAACAUCCAUUUACAAAAUCAAAGGGUGGCUAGACUUAGUCCAUGGGCUAGAAUUUGCUGACCCCUGAUAUAAAUAACAGCUCUCACCAUGACUGUACAAUGCAAAUGUCCACAGUCUAGUGUGUUUGCCAAUAGACUAUCACAGUCGUCAUAUAUAAACACCAACAUCAUUUAUCUUCAUUAAUGAUGUUUCAUCCUUUCUCCUUCCACCUGUGCUUGUAAGGAAAUGAAAUUGAAUAGAUGUCUACAGAUAGAGCGGACUUUUCACCUUGGUGUGAUAGGGCAGAGCUGAGCAGAGGCAAAGCCUUUGAGAGCUCAUACUUGCAUUUUAUGAGGUCUUCUCUAGAUAAGACUAAAAUCCAGUCAUAUUUAAAUAUACAUAUACAUCCAGUCUCCGAUUGGAUAUCAACUGUUCUGUUGAUUACAUACUUAUUCAUAGACCCACAAACAGUAAGGAAUGGCUACACCAAAAAAAGAGCGACGCUGAAAAGCUGAAGUCAGAGAGGAAGCUAUCAGAAGUCAGUUUAUUAAAGGCCUUCACCCCCAAAUUGGAGAUGGUUUAUAAUAAAAACAAUUAAACAAAGUGCAGCUAAUGUAUAGCUAAUGUAUAGCGACAGUAGGUGACAGUAGGGUUGAAGGAAAACAGCCAUCUUCACACACUGUGGGUUGGAAUGCUCCUUGGUGUAGCCUUUCAAGAGGGCAAUGUGUCAGUACAAAACUUUUUUUUUUAAGUUUUAUUAAAGUAUAGCUGACUUACAAUGUUGUGAUAAUGUCUGCUAUGUAACAGAGUGAUUCAGUUAUACACGUACACACAUCUAUUCUCUCUCAGAUUCUUUUCCCAUAUAGAUUAUGAUAGAAUAUUGGGUAGAGUUCUCUGUUCUGUAUAGCAGGUCCCUGUUGGCCAAUCAUUUCAUGUACCAUAGCGUGCAUAUGACAAUCCCAAGCCCCCAGUCCAUCCCUCCCCUCUCACCUGUCCCUUUUGGUAGUCAUAAGUUUUUCAAAGUCUGUGAGUCUCUUUCUGCUCUGCAAAUAAAUUCAAUUGUAUCCUUUUUUUUUAAGAUUCCACUUAUAUGUAAUAGCAUAUGAUAUUUGUCUUUCACUGUCUAACUUCACUUAGUAUGAUCAUUUCUAGGUCCAUCCAUGUUGCUGCAAAUAGCAUUAUUUCAUUCUUUUUUAUGGCUGAGUAAUAUUCCAUAGCAUCAAAACUCUUAAAAAUUAUGUUUAUAGAUGUUUAAUGUUACAGUAAUCAUAAUAGUGAACUGUUGGAGACAAUCUAAAUUACCAAAGAUUUAAGACUGGUUAAAUAAAUUACUGUGUUGUAAAAAUCCAUGCAACAAUUAAAAUAACAUUGUAGAAUAAUUUUUAAUGGCAUGGAAAUGCUAAUUUUUUUUAACAGAUGAGAGGUAGUUUGUAAAGUAAUACUUCAAUUGUGGUGUCAACUAAAAAAAGUAUAUAUUUAUUUUGGCCACAGCUGUGGCAUAUGAAAAUGGCUGAUGAUGCCACAGUCACAUCAACAUGGGAUCUGAGCCGCAUCUGUGACCUAUGCUGUAGCUUCCAGCAAAGCUGGAUACUUAAGCCACUGAGCAAGGCCAAGGAUUGAACCUGCAUCUUCAUAGAGUCAAUGGGUCCUUAAUCCACUGAGCCAUAAUGGGAACUCAUAAAAAUAUAUUUUAAAAGAUACCAAAAUAUUAACAAGGGGCAGGGAUAAUUAUUAGGAUUAUAGAUGAUGCAAACAUGUUUAGACCUCUCUGAUUUUUCAAAACUUCUCCAAUUAAGUUUUGAAAUAAAAAAGAAAAAUGUAGACUUUAUUAAAAAUCAAUAUUGUGAUGAACCAGAGUCAGAACUGAUUUAAUUUUGUUGUUGUUUGGUGGUAUUUGUUUGUUUGUUUUUAGCGGCACCCAUGGCAUGUGGAAUUUCCUGGGUCACAGCCGUGAUCCAAGCCGCUGCAAUGACAAUGCCAGAUCUUUAACCCACUAAGCCAAAAGAGAAUUCCCAAACUGGAUUUUUAAAAAAGGGAAUGGACAAUCUCCUUAGGUAUCUAAGAGUACAAUUUUCAUACCAAGAGCCACCCAGCAUCAAUCUAAUAUUAAAAUCUCCUGCAGCUACUGAGUAGUGGUAAGUCCUGCUCAGGUGACGCCAUAUCGACUUGAUUAGGAAUUCAACAAUUUUCCUUCUGGUCCAGGAUCAAGUCUUAGUGUUGAGCGUAUUUCAUAACUCAUCAUCCCAGUUUCCACAACUAUAAGAAAAAAAGAGCUAAUCAUCUUUGCUAAGUUUACUCCCGAAGGGUGUCUGUUGAGCAUGAUAAAGAUGCAAAUAAGAAAAAAGACAGAAUUAAAAAAAAAGUUCCUCUACCUCAGUCAAUAGUUAUGUAAUAUCAUAUAUACUAUAUAUCUUUAUCAUGUUUACUACUAUUUAUAGUAUUACGUAAUAACCAUUGGGUCAGGAAAUUGAACUUAAAGAUUUUAGAGUGAUAAUGAGAAUCAAUGUAGAAAUGAAAGAGGUUGUCUGGUCAAGUUUGAGUCAACCAGACCCUUCAAUUCGCUAGACUCUGCUUUUCCUGAACUUCGUACUUAAUAGCAGUUUUACUCUGCAGAGGAAGAUGGGAAGGCACAGCUCCCUUCUAGGAAACCAAGUUAUGUUGUCCUCCAACCCACCUGCAAAGGUAACAAUGUUGAGCUCAAUCUCCUGGCCAAAUUCCAGUCCAGGCAAUUACAACCUGCCCUACAAGGUCACCAGGACAAGUGGGCGGGCCAAAGGAAAGGUCCUGAGGGCCGACGGCUGCCUCGGGGGACAGGCCCUGGUGAGGAACAGGCAGAGGGCAGUCAGUCUGGUUCAUCGUACUCUGAAACAGGUCUGGGGGAGUCGGGUCUCUGGUACACACCUUCUUGUUUGCACCUCAGGGCUCCUGGCUGACUUCCAGCCCUGCAGCCAGGAGCACUGAAGACUCACUGGGGUGGUUUCCUCCUCAUCCGUGGUCCAGGAAACCCAGAGCCAUGUCGUGCUCAGGCUGGGGAGCAGGCAGAGGCACCGCUUGGCCGGUGGUUUUUGAGGAUCCCUGCUUUUGCCAACAGCAACCCAGUUUAGCAAAUCAGAGCCAGGGCAUCUCAGGGGCUCCGCCUUCCGCCCACCCAUGGGCCCGAGCCCUUCCUACAGAGGAAGGAAACACCCUUCUGUGAGCUGCAGGGCCUUUGGCGGCUUCUGUGGACCUGUCCCAGUACCUGAGACCCUGCAUUGUUGGGGAUGCUCUGUGUGUGUGUGUGUGUGUAUGUGUAUCUCCAGCUACAUGGGAUGCCUCUGGUCAGAGGUGGGCCUGCCCACCCAGAACUUCCUGAGAGCUUCUCUCAGGGUCUGGGUGGCAGAGCUGACAUUGCACAACCCACUCAACAGUCCUGUGGGAAUUGACAACGUGAGGGUGAGAGAGUAUCUAAAUCCUCACUGUCCUGGGGAAGGAGAAAAAACAGAUAAUGAGGGAGAGUGGGUGAGAGCAGAGCCAACUGCCCCAAAGGGUCCACCAGCUCUGCCUGCUGAAUCCCUGCUGUCCCCAGCCUCCUGAAUCCCCUGUGUUUUUGUUUCCUCACCUGUAACAUGGAAGUAUAAUUCUACUUGGCUCAAGGGGUGGCUGUGGGGCUCAAAGGUUGAUAAAUAUAAGAUGCUUAGGAGAGGCACCAUGUGAGGGUCUGCUAUUAUUACUGCUGUUGUUGUUGUUGUCAGUGGAAAGUUGAAGGAGAAAGUUUAGGUGUGUGUGUGUGUGUGUGUUUUCUUUCGCUUGUUUUGUUUUAGCACGAGAGGCUCUCAGGCAUGUUAUGAGCAGAGAGGGGAGCUGGGCUCACAGGAGUAGAGGCAGGGAGCUGGGUGUGGAGGGUACAAGUCUGCAGGUGAGCGUGCAGGUCUGGCUGCCCAAGGAGAGAGGCAGAUGGGCCGAUGGGGAGGAGGAACAGCUGGAACAGAUGAGGUGGGGAAGGUAGGGGCUGCCUCAAGGUGAAGUAAAUGAGUUUGGAACCUAUGAUUUCCUGACCAGCUCCUGGGCUGACAGUGGUGAAGGUGGUAGUAGUGUUGGCCCCUGGCUGGAGUGUAGACCCUUCUGGGAAAGGAGAGAGGCCAAGGGAGGAGCAAGGGCAUAGCUAAGAGACCCACAGUUGGUCUUAGAGGAAGGGAUGGAUGCAGAGACUGGAGUGAAAGGAGCGUUGGGGGCUUUGGAAAUUUCUGGAAGUGGACCAGUGGCUGCAUGAGUAACCAGGGAAGAAAGAGCUGGAAAGCACAGGCACGGAAGGAUAACUGAGAACUGGAUCCCAAAAGCACAUGGACUGAGGGGUGAACCUGAGCUCUGGAUGGAAUGUUGACAGUCAGACCCAGCCCUGGGGGCAGUUUAUUAAAAUGCAGGAAACACAGAAAACAGUUAUUCAAAUCUACCAACAUCCAGCUCCUCCCUGACUUCCAAGAGAGGCAGAACAUGAAUCUCAAAAAGCCAAACCUCAAUCAAGGACCCUCAACCUGACCUUGGCUCUCCCGAGUAAACUUCUGUACUAUCAUCAGCAUCAUUCUGAGCAGGUGUACACAUGAGGUUGGGGUCUGACUUUCCUUCAUGUCUCUCAACACAUUUUAUUAUCUAUACACAGAUUCUGUGGAUUUUAAUACCAUAUAGAAGCCAAUCAGCUUUGGAGAACAGAAAGUUUUCUUCCCCACCUCUCUGAAGAUAUUCUCCAGAGAGUUAUUUCCAAAGGGGAAGAUCACGAAAUAGCUCUCGUUUACACAUCUGUUCAGCUAAUCCCAGUGUGUGCGUGUCCUGAACAAGUAAUAAAAGGAGGGUGUACUGUUAACUCAGUUGGGGGAACAGAGUUAAAUACAAAUGGGAAGUUUGUAUUCUUGCAGAACUUCUGAGAGCCUUUAAUGUAGCAAUGGGUUUUGUGACUCUUCCAGAAGGGGCUUUGUGGGCAGCAGAAAUAUACCUGCCAUAAGCAUCUCCAGGACAAAUCUUCUGGGGGCUCUUCUUUGGAAAAAGUCUCUUUGGUAAUGCCCCCUCACCCUCUUGAGGAGGCAUGUGCCCAAGAAAGUAAGGUGACUUGGUCAGACCCGUGAAACUAGUGAGCCACAGAACUAGGAUGAGUGCAAAACCAGUCUGAAGGGGCCCCUUGGCAAUAAAGAUCUCAUCCCUGGGCAGAUUGUUCACCUUUUCAAAGAGGCCACUUUGAGUAAAUGUCUCUGUGUAGACACAGGCUUAUCCAACCUGCCUAU